rnacentral:rRNA from 1 species
GUGUCAGCAGCCGCGGUAAGACGUAGGGUGCAAGCGUUGUCCGGAUUUACUGGGCGUAAAGAGCGCGUAGGCGGCUCGUUAAGUGAGAAGUUAAAGCUCUGGGCUCAACCCAGAAACCGCUUUUCAUACUGGCGAGCUGGAGUGAUGCAGAGGUGGAUAGAAUUCCCGGUGUAGCGGUGAAAUGCGUUGAUAUCGGGAGGAAUACCCAUGGCGAAGGCAGUCCACUGGGCAUCAACUGACGCUGAGGCGCGAAAGCGUGGGUAGCAAACAGGAUUAGAUACCCUGGUAGUCCACGCCCUAAACGAUGGAUGCUAGGCGUAGGAGGUAUCGACCCCUCCUGUGCCGCAGCUAACGCACUAAGCAUCCCGCCUGGGGACUACGGCCGCAAGGUUGAA